GGUGCCGUCUAAACGAUCGCCGGGUGCAUCGGUUUGAUCCGGAGGAAAGUCCGAACACCGCAGGGCAGGGUGCUCCAUAACGUGGAGUCACGGCAACGUGAAGGAAAGUGCAACAGAGAACAGACCGCCCGGUCUGGCAGUUUUCUGUCAGGUUGGGUAAGGGUGAAACGGUGCGGUAAGAGCGCACCAGUUUCCCGGGUGACCGGGAAAGCUUGGUAAACCCCACCCGGUGCAAGACCAAAUAGGGGAGUGUCUGAGGGCGGCCCGUCCGAGCUCCCGGGUAGGUUGCAAGAGGUGAUGGGCAAUCAUCAUCCAUAGAUGAAUGAUCGUUGCCUGGUGCGGGGUAACUCUCACCAGGAACAGGAAUCGGCUUAUGGACUGCACUGACC
rnacentral:RNase_P_RNA from 1 species